rnacentral:RNase_P_RNA from 1 species
GUGAGCUGGAGCACGAGACGCUGCUACGGCAGAGGAAACUCCUCUCUCCAUACAGGAAAUGUGAUCUGGCGAUAGAUAAUCAGAGAUGGUUGGCAACGAUGCAGAAAGACAUCCGACCUGGUGUACAAUGAUGGUAAAACCUGAGAUUCCCAGCACAGGAAUGAAAGAGAUCGUCCCACAUGGAGCAAGGCCAAACAGAACCAAAGGCACCUGUAGCCGGUUCAGGUAGGCUGCAAAGCGAAAUAUCGUGAAAACAGAAAGAGGGUUACUCCCAGCACAC